GGCUCUGAGUGGUGGGUCACUCAGCUCAUGCAUCGAUGAAGAAUGCAGCUAGCUGCAAGAAAUAAUGUGAAUUGCAGGACACAUUGAUCAUCAACACUUUGAACACACUUUGUGGCUCCGGGUUAUUCCCUGUGCUAUGCCUGUCUGAGGGUCA